rnacentral:lncRNA from 1 species
CUUGAUUACUUCAGCAAAAAUUAAAAUAACAAAAAUACCAAACGCUGUUGAAUAUAUAUUUAAAACAGAAAGUCCCCCUAUUAAAUGAAUGAAAAAAUGAACUGAAGAAUUACUGGGUAUUAAGUUUCAAAUCCACCGAUUUAUUGAGUAUGAGAUAUAUUUUGUACUUAUUUUUUUAAUUGAAUAGAACUAACAUUUAUUUGAUUUCUUCAACUAUAAUUAUUUUUGUGCUGCUACAUUGUAUAUCAUUAUGACUAGAUUGGUCAAACUGAACAUUUUAGACUUUGGUUAUAUAUUUAUAUUAAAAGUAGGGGUCAUAACCAACUUUUUUGCAAGCUAUAAUUUUUGGAAAAAUUGUCAGAUUUUAAGAUUAUCAGUUUAAACCCUAUUCUGUGUGUAUAGAAAGAAAACUGAAUGAUCUAAUUUUAAAAUAAAAUAUAAGAAGAUAGUUCUUGUAACAUGAUUCCAGAUUAUAAAAAGAUAAAUAUAUGUCAGAGAUCUUGUUUUCUUGCUUAAAAAAAGGUUUAUCUCCCCUGCUAUGGCUUAAAUUGAAGCAAUUAGAAUUGACCAAAAAACUUGGGAUAAAAACGUUAUUAGAUAACACACAUACAGUCUUCAUGCUGAUGAAAAAUCUUACACAUGGAUUGCAAUCAUUCCUCUCCAAAAUUUCUGCUAUUUUACAUUUAAUGAAAAUAUAUCUAACACUCAGAUCAGUUUCCACUCAGGUUUAAAAGACAUUUUGAAAGUUUUGACAACACUCAGUCAGUUAUAAUUAUUGCAUGUACACUUGUUUGUGAAAAAAACAUAUUAUACUGUUAUACAUCACAUAUUUUAUAAUGCUACCCGGUAUGUACAAGUACUAUAAAUUAUUUGUUAGGUUGUUAUCAGUUUCAAACAUGUUUAUUUCCUUUUAAUUAAAUUGUACCAUGACAUAUUGUCAUUAUUAUAUAGUGUUUCACCCAAAUGAUUCACCAUCAACAUUUAGGUACCAGCAACUUCUUCAGGUUCCAUUGACAGUUUCACUAAUUCGUAAUAAUAAAAUUGAGAAAGGAAAUGGGGAAUAUGUCAAAGAGACAAUAAUCUGACCAAAGAGCAAAUAACAGCUGAAGGCCACCAAUGGGUCUUCAAUGCAGCAAGAAAAUCCUGCAUCCUGAGCUGGGUCUCAGCAGGCCCCUACAUAAAAUGUGAACUGGUUCAGUGAAAAUGGACGUCAUACUAAACUCCAAAACAUAUAAAUGAACUAGAAGUUAAAACACAUACUAGACUAACAAAGACCAGAGGCUCCUGGCUUGGAAAGGCGCCAAAAUGUGGCGGGGUUAUCCCUGUUUUGUGAGAUCUUAACCUUCCCCCUAUACCUCUAGCAAAUGUAAAAUAAACAAAC